GGAGUCCAGCAGUGCACCUUUCAGACCUGAACCCACGAGAAGACGUCCAUCAAGUUAUCCCAACUACUCUCACACAUCAGCGAUGGCUGAACAUCAGGUAGGAGAUAACAGCAGCAGAAUGAGUCCAUCAGCAGAGAAAGAGACCUGCAAAAACCCAGAUAGACUUUAUUAUGAGGGUGAGGAGAGUAUCAUCGGAGAACAGCUGGAUCAACAUCGGUCUAGCCGCACUGGAGAAAAACCCCACUCCUGUGACCAGUGUGAGAAGAGCUUUAGCCAGGCAGGCAAUUUGAAGCGCCACAAGCGAACCCACACUGGAGAAAAACCCUACUCCUGUGACCAGUGUGAGAAGAGCUUUAGCCAGACAGGCAAUUUGAAGCGCCACAAACGAACCCACUAUGGAGAAAAGCCUUUCACCUGGGACCAGUGUGAGAAGAGCUUUAGAGAAUCAGACUGCUUCAGGAUCACCGUACCGCCUCUUAUCUUAUCUUAUCUUGUUGGAGUAAACCUUCACCAGUGCACUGAGACUGUUCAGAGACAGUGAAGUGGACUUCUUGACUCAAUGUUAAAAGAUGUCGUGUAGAUUUUAAAAGUUGAUCAAAUGUUUUCAAUAAUAUUCAUAUGCGUGCA